UCCUGGCUCAGGGAUGAACGCUAGCGGCGGGCCUAACACAUGCAAGUCGAGGGGUAACGAUGGCUUCGGCCAGGCGACGACCGGCGCACGGGUGAGUAUCGCGUUUGUAACCUACCUCUGACUGGAGGAUAGCCCGAAGAAAUUCGGAUUAAUACUCCAUAAUACUAUGGACAGGCAUCUGUUCAUGGUUAAAGCCCCGGCGGUCAGAGAUGGGCAUGCGUGACAUUAGCUUGUUGGUGAGGUAACAGCUCACCAAGGCUACGAUGUCUAGGGGGUCUGAGAGGAUGGUCCCCCACACUGGUACUGAGACACGGACCAGACUCCUACGGGAGGCAGCAGUGAGGAAUAUUGGUCAAUGGGCGAAAGCCUGAACCAGCCAUGCCGCGUGAAGGAUGACAGCCCUAUGGGUUGUAAACUUCUUUUGUACGGGAAGAAACGCCUCUACGUGUAGAGGUUUGACGGUACCGUACGAAUAAGCAUCGGCUAACUCCGUGCCAGCAGCCGCGGUAAUACGGAGGAUGCAAGCGUUAUCCGGAUUUAUUGGGUUUAAAGGGUACGUAGGCGGGAGCUUAAGUCAGUGGUGAAAUCCUGCAGCUUAACUGUAGAACUGUCAUUGAUACUGGGCUUCUUGAAUGUAGUUGAGGUAGGCGGAAUGUGUAAUGUAGCGGUGAAAUGCUUAGAUAUUACACAGAACACCGAUUGCGAAGGCAGCUUACUAAACUACGAUUGACGCUGAGGUACGAAAGCGUGGGGAGCGAACAGGAUUAGAUACCCUGGUAGUCCACGCUGUAAACGAUGAUCACUCGUUGUUGGCAAUACACCGUCAGCGACUGAGCGAAAGCAUUAAGUGAUCCACCUGGGGAGUA
rnacentral:rRNA from 1 species